GUGAACGCUGGCGGUAGGCCUAAUACAUGCAAGUCGAACGGCAGCACCGUAAGAGCUUGCUCUUACGGGUGGCGAGUGGCGGACGGGUGAGGAAUACAUCGGAAUCUACUUUUUCGUGGGGGAUAACGUAGGGAAACUUACGCUAAUACCGCAUACGACCUACGGGUGAAAGCAGGGGAUCUUCGGACCUUGCGCGAUUGAAUGAGCCGAUGUCGGAUUAGCUAGUUGGCGGGGUAAAGGCCCACCAAGGCGACGAUCCGUAGCUGGUCUGAGAGGAUGAUCAGCCACACUGGAACUGAGACACGGUCCAGACUCCUACGGGAGGCAGCAGUGGGGAAUAUUGGACAAUGGGCGCAAGCCUGAUCCAGCCAUACCGCGUGGGUGAAGAAGGCCUUCGGGUUGUAAAGCCCUUUUGUUGGGAAAGAAAAGCAGCAGGUUAAUACCCCGCUGUUCUGACGGUACCCAAAGAAUAAGCACCGGCUAACUUCGUG
rnacentral:rRNA from 1 species